AGCAGCCGCGGUAAUUCCAGCUCCAAUAGCGUAUAUUAAAGUUGUUGCAGUUAAAAAGCUCGUAGUUGAAUUUUGGGUCUGGCCGGGCGGUCCGCCCUCCGGGUGAGCACUGUUCCGACGCCGGGCCUAUCCUUCUGGAGAGUCGGCAUGUCCUUUAUUGAGUGUGCCGGGGAACCAGGACCAUUACCUUGAAAAAAUUAGAGUGUUCAAAGCAGGCGUAUGCUCGGAUACAUUAGCAUGGAAUAAUGAAAUAGGACGCGUGGUGCUAUUUUGUGGUUUCUAGAACCGCCGUAAUGAUUAAUAGGGAUAGUUGGGGGCAUUAGUAUUCAAUUGUCAGAGGUGAAAUUCUUGGAUUUAUUGAAGACUAACUUCUGCGAAAGCAUUUGCCAAGGAUGUUUUCAUUAAUCAAGAACGAAAGUUAGGGGAUCGAAGACGAUCAGAUACCGUCGU
rnacentral:rRNA from 1 species